UGUGCUUGUCUUCAACAAACUUUGCAAUAGCGUACUGGCUAGAUCCAGUCCGCUCCUUCAGGGAAGAGAUUGCUUCGCUGAUCAUCUCAAGAUAGGUAGGAUGGAGAGCUGGCUUCUUUGCAACGGAGGCCUUCUUCACCUUAGGGGUCUUUGCCUUUGUCUCCUUGGCCGGCUUCGCUACCGAAUCAUCUCCGACGACAGGGACCGGAGCAAAGGCGGGAGUUUCGAUUGCAACGGUGGCCGCCAUCACAGGGGACUUGAAAGUGAGGGAGGGGAUUGAGACAAUGAGGGAAAG
rnacentral:misc_RNA from 1 species